rnacentral:misc_RNA from 1 species
AUGUCCUGAUAUAUUUGGCCAAGUCCCUCCUGAUCAGCUGCUUGAUUAAAGUUCAACCGCCAUCAAUUCUUUUCCAAUUUUUUUGGGGGCAUAUAGCGGAUAAGUGCUGGUGUGUGCAGUUAAGGUGCCCCAUGAAAUCCCCGCAAGUAAAUUAAGAUCCGAUAAUAAAAGAUAUAUUCUUUUCUUUUGUUUUUAAUCACCCUCUGCCGGGCCAUAUUCAUUUGGUGAUACUGGGCAUGCUUUUCAAUUAUCUUGAAUUGCAAGUCAAGCCGCAACUUCCUGAAAUCAUUUGGCGCAAUAUCAUGGGCAAUUUAAGAGACAAUAUGAAGUGGUAUAGCACCUAUUUCCUGUUAUUGUACAUGGUGGGGCAUUACAAAUGGUUGUUGCUUGCUCCAUGUUGGUCUGUUUCCCAAUUUUUGAAGGCUUAUGUAGUUUAAUGUACUCGUUUUAAUGGUAAGCAAAAUAGCUUCUUUUUUUUUUAAUGAAACAGAUGCUACUGUGAAUGAGUAUUAUUAGAAAUAGAGGUGUGCGAUUCUAGUUUCAGUUUGAUUUGGGGUCUG